AUACAAGUAAAGAGUUUCACAUACAAUUCACAUAAUUGCAAAUCAAUUCAAGUAGCCUUCAAUGGAUAUUCAAUGAACACAACAUACAAAUCAUGGAUACAAAUGGAAUAUCAUCAUCUCUAUGAUUGCCUCUAGGGCAUACCUCCAACACAUACAGGAAUGAAGAGAAAUGCAUCUUUCACUGGAAUGAGCCUAUUCAAAGGUUCUCUUCUCU
rnacentral:lncRNA from 1 species